rnacentral:rRNA from 1 species
GACGAACGCUGGCGGCGUGCCUAAUACAUGCAAGUAGAACGCUGAAGGAGGAGCUUGCUUCUCUGGAUGAGUUGCGAACGGGUGAGUAACGCGUAGGUAACCUGCCUGGUAGCGGGGGAUAACUAUUGGAAACGAUAGCUAAUACCGCAUAAUAGUAGAUGUUGCAUGAUAUUUGCUUAAAAGGUGCAAUUGCAUCACUACCAGAUGGACCUGCGUUGUAUUAGCUAGUUGGUGGGGUAACGGCUCACCAAGGCGACGAUACAUAGCCGACCUGAGAGGGUGAUCGGCCACACUGGGACUGAGACACGGCCCAGACUCCUACGGGAGGCAGCAGUAGGGAAUCUUCGGCAAUGGACGGAAGUCUGACCGAGCAACGCCGCGUGAGUGAAGAAGGUUUUCGGAUCGUAAAGCUCUGUUGUAAGAGAAGAACGAGUGUGAGAGUGGAAAGUUCACACUGUGACGGUAUCUUACCAGAAAGGGACGGCUAACUACGUG